UACGUAGGGGGCUAGCGUUGUCCGGAAUCAUUGGGCGUAAAGCGCGUGUAGGCGGUCCGGUAAGUCCGCUGUGAAAGUCGGGGGCUCAACCUCGGAUGCCGGUGGAUACUGUCGGGCUUGAGUACGGAAGAGGCGAGUGGAAUUCCUGGUGUAGCGGUGAAAUGCGCAGAUAUCAAGGAGGAACACCAAUUGCGAAGGCAGCUCGCUGGGACGUUACUGACGC
rnacentral:rRNA from 1 species